GAUGAACGCUAGCGGCAGGCCUAACACAUGCAAGUCGAGGGGCAGCACAGAAACAGCAAUGUUUUGGUGGCGACCGGCGGACGGGUGCGUAACGCGUAUGCAACCUACUUUUAACAGGGGGAUAACGGAGAGAAAUUUCCACUAAUACCCCAUAACAUCGAUCAAGGCAUCUUGAUUGGUUGAAAACUCCGGUGGUUAAAGAUGGGCAUGCGUUGUAUUAGGUAGUUGGUGAGGUAAUGGCUCACCAAGCAUACGAUACAUAGGGGGACUGAGAGGUUAGCCCCCCACACUGGUAUUGAGAAACGGACCAGACUCCUACGGGAGGCAGCAGGAAGGAAUAUUGUGCUAUGGGGGCAAGCCUGACCCAGCCAUGCCGCGUGCAGGAAGACGGCUCUAUGAGUGGUAAACUGCUUUUAAACAGGGAUAAAGCACAGUAUGUAUACUGUGUUGAAGGUACUGUAAGAAGAAGGAUCGGCUAACUCCGUGCCAGCCGCCGCAGUAA
rnacentral:rRNA from 1 species